GGGGUUGUACUGGUUUCGACGGGGGUUUUGAAGUUGUGGAAGCCAUUCGUGGACUAGGACCACGUAAAAACUUAGAAUUAAAUAUAAACGCAGACGAAAAUUUAGCGUACGCUGCCUAGCGGCAGCUGUCGACCUUAAGCCACUCGCUGCUUAAGGACUCGGCAUCAAACUUGCGAGGCACUUUGUCUUCAAAGCUUUGAGAAGAUAAAAGAAACAUGAAGCUACCAAAGCUAAUAGCCUGUUAGCCGGCGAUUAGUAGAGGGAACAGCAAACUUCGGGUUUGCAUAAAAGACUGACUGUAAUGGGAGAUGCUACAAUGAAUGGGCUUUCGGACAGGGGUUCGAUUCCCCUCAGCUCCAUCU
rfam:Anaerosporobacter mobilis DSM 15930 genome assembly, contig: EJ17DRAFT_scaffold00015.15